UCGAUAUUUGGGUACCUCACGAGCUCACUGAAAGAAACCCAAUGAACCGUGUACUCAUUUGUGAUUCUUUUUUAAAGAACCAUUUUUGAAGAAGCUGAUAACUGGUGAUGAAAAGUGAAUCAUGCACGACAAGAACGUGUGAAAAAGGUCGUGGUCAAAGGCCGGUCAGGCUUCACAGUAAGUAGUCAGGCUUCACAGUAAGUAAGCAGGCGAAUAAGCCGCCAAAUUUCAAUGCACGUAAAAAUUAAAUGCAAGAACAUAACAUCAAUUUUGAUGUCAAAAUGACUAAACGAGAGCUGUAUAUGUUGAUCAAAACAAAUAAGCCAGAGAAGGUAUAUUUCAUCGAUGAAAUAUUUAAAGCUCAUGAACAUGAGGUAUUACGUCUGCCGUCCUAACACUGUGAUCUCAAUCCUAUUGAGUACGAUUGGAAUUUGAUGAAGCAAAGGGUGGCAGACAAACAUAUAGGCCAAUCUGAAAAAUACAUCGAAAGAUUAACAAAGGUAGCGAUACAAAAUAUAACCCCGGAAGACUGUUGUUGUUGAUUUGUUUUGAUUGAUUGAUGUUGUUAAGAGAUAAGAUUUGGCAUGAUGACAGGCUAUAUGAACUUUAAUUAUAAUAUAUAUUUUAAUUAUAAUACGCGAAUUAAUAAUUUUUAUUAGGAGGAGAAAACAGUGACAGUAAAACCGAUCACAACAUUUUGAGUGAUAAUGAAGAUGACACUGACAGCGUAACGAUGUCUGGUGUUGAGGAUCUUCCAGAAUAAUUUCGCCACUUUCUCCUGCUCAUUAGUUUUUCUUUUACUUUAUAAAGUACAUAUUGAUGUAAAAGUUGUUUAAAGUGUAAGAAAAUUGAUAAACAUAAAUAAAAUAUAUUUUAACUUUACAUCUGAUAUUUUUUUCCAACAUCUCGAAUGUUUUUGCUUCUCCCUAGUUUGCAUGACGUCAUUAAACCAGGUUUGCAGAUAUUUCCGACGAUACGUAGAUACCUGAUAGUUUUUAUGUUGAAUCUGGUAGGAAGCCAGAUUAAUUGUUGACAGCACCGAAAAAGAGCAAUGAAUGGUUGUUAUAAACAAAAAUGGCGUUUAUUUCGGUUUUUAGUUUGAAGUUAAAAGGAGACUGUUACAGUUUGUGGCUUGUUUUUUUUCAAAAAUCGUGAAAGUUUCCGUGUAAUAACGGUGAACACUUGUAAGUGGUUGUAAGCGAGAAUCCUAUCCAGAUUGUGGAAUAUCCUUCCAUAGGUAAGAUUCAUUGAUUAUUUUUUACUAGUGUGAGCAUAUUUUAUCAUUAAAAUAUUUAAUACCUUUUGUCUUGUAAAUUGUACUUAAUCUAUGCCAUAAAUUAUACAAAAUUUGAAAAAUCAAUCGUAAAAAAACUAUAAUGGGGGGUUUACACGGGUGACUAAAGCCGCACGAUUUUUGCCGCGCGGCGUAAAUCGACCAUCUAAAUGGCAAUUCGGCUAAGUUGCAAUUGACUAAAGCCGCAAGCCCCAAAGUUGGGUAGCAUCCGACUUUGGCCGCGCGGCAACCGGCCGCAUGCGACUGGUGAUUAAAAUCGACCGUGUAAACGAUCAGUUGCAGGCGAUCGCCCGCCGCGUGAAGGUGUUUCGCGCACGCACGUGUAUUUAUUUACUACAGCGUUUCUGUGUACAUGUAUCGUAACAACCAUGAAUAAAAAUAACACCAUACAGUUUUUGGAAUGCUAUGAAAUGCAUCCAUGCUUAUGGAACCCAAGAGAACAAGAUUACAGAAACAAUAAUGUACGUUUAGCGGCUCUUAAAUCUAUUAUUCAAGAAAUGCGUUUGUCCAUAACAGUUGAAGAGCUUAAAUUGAAGAUAAAAAAUAUACGAACCACGUAUAAUAGAGAGGCCAGUAAGGUAGCAAAGUCAAAGAAGAGUGGCGCGGGAAAGGAUGAUAUAUACAGACCUCAAUUAAUUUGGUUUUCUGUAGCUGACCGCUUUUUAAAGCCAGUGAUAGAAGGAAGAAACAGUAAAGAUAACAUGGGAAAAGAUUCAGCGGUGAACACAAACAGCGACGCGUCUUCAUAUUUUGAUGAAUUGGAACAAGAAGAUAAUAUUGCGCCCUUACAAAAGAAAAAAAAUUGUCUCCAAAGAAAAAGGCGGAGCGUGCUCUAAUGGACGCACCUAAAAUGGACCCACCUGUUUUACAAGCAGUCAAUAGAUUAGAAACUUUGGCUCAAACUAUCCGUCAAGAUGAAUUUGAUACAUUCGGAGUACAUGUGGCAAGCCAAUUACGUAGUUUGCCAUUAAGAAAUGCUAUUGUUUGUCAAAAUUUCAUCAAUAAUUAUUUGUCACAAGAAAGACUGAAAACCUUAACACAACAUUUUCCAAUUGCUAGACCUACGAGUUCACUUUCAGAAUAUUCACGCUAUACUUCGACUCCAGAAGCCGAAGCUACUACUUCCAGAAACCAAGCUUUUCAAUACCAGCGUGAAACUUCGACUCCCGAAGCUUCCACUUCUAGAAGGCACCUCGAUUAUGAAGAAGACUAUUUUGCCAGCUGUUUACUUACACAAAAAAAUACUGGGCAACAAUACGGAGUGAACGACGAUAUUCUAUCUCAAGCUGUUAGGUCAUGCUUAGAUGAAAACACAAUGGAAAAUUUAUAAAUAAAUCGUUUAUAAUUAAUUACUAGUUUCACUUACCAUAAUGAACUCCUGUAAAACAUUGUAUAUAGCAUCCAAAACAUCCUUCAAAAACAAGGAAAUUGUGCAUUCUGGAACUCUGAAUGACUCUGCAAGACUUGAAUAGUUAUCACCGGUAGCCAGGAACUUCAGGGUUAUUUCUAAUUUAAUUUUCGGAGAAAGUGCUACUCGCAUAUUGGUAUCGCAUUUUUGUAUAAGCGGAGUAACCUUAUGUAGUAAAGUAUUAAACUGAUCAGUAGUCAUUCUUAAUCGUUUUUUAAAAUAAUCAGGAUCUUCUAAACUCCACUCAACCAAUAAAGUAUCCGAAGCAUCCAAGUCCUUACGUCGAGAAAUCCAUCCACGUACCCAAACAUUACGUUUUCUUCUUUCCUUUUGUUUUUUCUUCACUCUUUGUUCUUUAAGCAAUUGUUGAAUAAUUGAAUAAUUAAUUAUUUCAAUUCCGGCACAAACGGCUAUUCUGCUCAACAUUUUCGAUGGAAAUGACAGAGCCGCAUGCGAUUUUAGUAACCAGUGUAAAUGGGCUAGCGAUGCGGCUUGGUGAGGCAAUUAGUGAAGCGACUCGCCGCACGGCGAAAAUCGACCCGUGUAAACCCCCCAUAAGAUGCAAUUUUGCAAU